GCACGUAAUGGUGGGCACUCUAAGGAGACUGCCGGUGACAAACCGGAGGAAGGUGGGGAUGACGUCAAGUCAUCAUGGCCCUUACGGCCUGGGCUACACACGUGCUACAAUGGUCGGUACAGAGGGUUGCCAAGCCGCGAGGUGGAGCUAAUCCCAUAAAACCGAUCGUAGUCCGGAUCGCAGUCUGCAACUCGACUGCGUGAAGUCGGAAUCGCUAGUAAUCGCGAAUCAGAAUGUCGCGGUGAAUACGUUCCCGGGCCUUGUACACACCGCCCGUCACACCAUGGGAGUGGGUUGCACCAGAAGUAGCUAGUCUAACCUUCGGGAGGAC
rnacentral:rRNA from 1 species